GACGAACGCUGGCGGCGUGCUUAACACAUGCAAGUCGAACGGAAAGGCCCUGCUUGCAGGGUACUCGAGUGGCGAACGGGUGAGUAACACGUGGGUGAUCUGCCCUGCACUUCGGGAUAAGCCUGGGAAACUGGGUCUAAUACCGGAUAGGAGCCAUUUUUAGUGUGAUGGUUGGAAAGUUUUUUCGGUGUAGGAUGAGCUCGCGGCCUAUCAGCUUGUUGGUGGGGUAAUGGCCUACCAAGGCGGCGACGGGUAGCCGGCCUGAGAGGGUGGACGGCCACAUGGGGACUGGGAUACGGCCCAGACUCCUACGGGAGGCAGCAGGGGGGAAUAUUGCACAAUGGGCGCAAGCCUGAUGCAGCGACGCCGGGUGGGGGAUGACGGCCUUCGGGUUGUAAACUCCUUUCGCUAGGGACGAAGCUUUUUGGGACGGUACCGAGAUAAGAAGCCCCGGCAAACCACGU
rnacentral:rRNA from 1 species